rnacentral:misc_RNA from 1 species
GCCAAAUUCCAAUGAAAACCAACUUAGCUAUUACUGCCUCCUCCUGGUACCUUAUUUGAGUGUUUAGUUGUUUAAUUUCCUAAGCACGAACAACCCAGACAAACUUAAACUUAGCCUCUAGCUCACCAACUUACCCCUCAGCAGCCUCCAGGAGCCCUUUCAGCUCUUGAUUGACUCUGAUGAUUUACAUCCUUUAUUGCCAUCUUAAUGAAGUUAUGUUGCGACUACAUCUCCCCAUAACUUUACUUUAGUAGCUUAAACUUCUCCCGAACCAUUUGGGAAACUGACAAUGCCUCCAAGUUAUAGCUUGCCAUCUUGAGAAUCAUAUUAUCAGCAUCAUCCUCUCAGUCAAAAUGAAAGUAAUCAUCCGAAAGGAGUAACUUUUUAGCCAAAACACCUUUAAGUGUAUAGUUGUCCUCAAUGGUUCAAAACUUGGCCAAGUCAAUAUCAAUGCCUUAAGGGUAAGGAGGAGUCAAAAAAGAAGGAGGUAGAGGCAGAACAGGGUGAUCAAGGUGAGCAUCACUAGGAAGAUUAGUGCAUGAAUUUGCAAUUUGAGGGGCAUCAGGUGUGCCAGAUGACUCACCCUCACCCUCACCCUUCACCUGCUGGAAUGGGGGAUUAGAUAGUAAUGGGGCUCUUUUUGCCUUCCUCUUGUUAGAAAUUCGAGCGGCCAAUACUCUUCGCUCUUCCUCGCUUGACUCAACCAUACCUGUUUAAAGAAAGAAUAAUUAGUAAGUUUACUAGUUGCAACAUGGCAAAGUUUUAAGGAUAUACCCUCUUGCUCGAAUUCUCGAGGCAUCUCCCUAAUAGGUGAAUCCUCUGCCAUAGGUCCCACUAAAGGAAUCCCCCUCUCUACUAUCCCUUGAUAGAUGUUUACCUCUUGGGUGAUCAAAGGGGCCGUAGGAAAAUGACCCCCUUCAGCCAAACUCUUGAGCACAAUAAUGACGAUUUUUUCAUGCACGAAUAGCUUGAUCUUCCCUUUCCUUGACUUCACAUUCAAUGACCAAGACAAAGGGAAAUUCCCCCAGCUAAGUCUUAUUGCUUGUCCCAAAAGAAAAAAACUUAUUCUUCUAUCUCUUCGCAGAGGAGUGAAGACACUUAAGGUGAUAGUCUUUCUUGGUUUGGAAAUAAUUAAAAUCAUGGCCUAGGCAAUCCAAUAGUUGGAAGAAGCUAGCAAAGAUCCUCACCCCACACUCAAUGUUAUUGUGGCGACACAACCCCUAAAGGCUACUAGGGUCCUGCAGUUAUUAGGCGACAAUUGGGCGAUGCAAAUGUUGUAGAACUCCAACACUUCUGAGUAAAAAUGAUCUAGAGGAAGGCAACAAGCGGUUUUGAAUGUCUCUUCAUAAAUCACAAAGAAGUUAAGAGUGAAGAACAGGGUCGUGUGCCCAAAAACCUUCUUGGAUUUGUUGGAAUAUAUACCCAUCUGGCACUUCAUACUUUUGCAAAACUGAAUGGAUAGCAAAAUUCUUCAACUUAGAUUGUAUCAGAGCCAUAGGUCCACUAUUUUCAGUUGCCCUAACCAAUAUCGCUCUACCUGACUCAGUUGCUUCAGUCAUGCAUUUAACCUUUUGCUCACCUCCAAUGGCUCGCUCUCUUGAGGAAGACUACUCUCAGCUCCAUCGGUCAUCUAACCUAAUGAACCUAUAACCACCUCAGGGUCAACAUCAAGCCCAUCGCUCGAAGAAGAACGUGCAUAUGCACUGCUGAGCAUCUAUUGAGAGUCCCAAGGAGAUUCCAUAAGUUAAAAAGAAAGCAGAUUACCCUAAAAUAAUCUCUAGCAAAGGAAAGAAAGCAGAUUUGGUGCACUUGUAUUGUAUAGGUAUUUAAAGGUGAUAUUUGCUACAUUUCAUCCAUAUUUUGUUUGUUAAUUGCAUGAUUUUUAGUUAGUUUUAUUAUGUUUUAGGAUUUUAAGUUAAACCUGCCUAAUUUCUUGAUUUUUAUAUUAUAUCAAGUGAUUUGAUUUAAUCCUAAGGCCUAAAACAAGUUUAGAAGAGUUUGGAAGUCAGAAAGUUUAAUUAGAAUGCUAGAAGAACUACAUAGGCCGUGUAAUACUGAAGGAGGGACCCGUGCAACAUAGCUUAGGGAGAGGACCAGUACACGGGCCCUAUACCAUGACCAUGCAAUGACCUUCACCCCAUGUAAUGCUCUGUUCCUCCUUAAGAUGCAAGUUUCAGAUGGCUAGAAAGUUACAUGGCCCUAACCUAUCUAGUGCUACAUUGGCCAUGUACUAUGCACCAGUAGAGACUCCCAAUUCAACUUUUCCUCCUAUCUGCUUGACCCGAAAGACUUUUAAGGCCUCUAGGACUCUGAAAUUACUUUAUUUACACCAGAUAUAAAUACAAGAAGUCAGAAACAAGUUAGGGAUCGAUUCUUUUACAUUUAAGCAUAACAAUUUCACCUUGGGAGAGAUCGUUAACAAGAUUUUUGGAAGAGAUUCUCAACCAAAGUUUCAAAAGUUCAAGGCUGCAAAAUCCUCAUUUUGGCUUUCUUUGUUCUAUUUAUUUUGAUGUGUUUUUCAUAUUUUAUUAUUUUAAGUUUGAUUCUAAAGCUCAACAUGAGUGAGUAUUUUUCUUUAUUCUCGAAUCAGGGAUGCAACACUUUUAAUUUGGCUAUGGAUUUUAUUUGAUUUUGUUUAAUAAUUUUGAGAUUUCAUUCUUUGAUUCAAUUUCUUGUUUUUUAACGCAUGCUAUGAGUUGAGCUUCACUUAGUAUCAAUGCUAGAUAUUAAUUGAAGGAUUAAAAAGUGAAGAUUAAUAUUUGAUUAUCAAGAUUUUGAUCUUAGAGUUUUUGACCUAGAGAUAGGUUGAGAUUCUAUGAGGAGUUUAUAAUUAGUCAAAGAUCUUAAAAGGUUUUAAUUAAUUUAAUCGCUAUGAAAGUAAAGUUUAAGUUGAUUAAAAUAUAACUUGAGUGCCUUGAGAGAGGGCUUAAGGUAAGUUAGGAUUAAUUUUCUAUAAAGUAAUAAUUUCCAAUUUAUUGAAUAGGUUAGGUAAACCCAUAAUUGAUUAUAGUGUGAGCCUCUAACUCUGGAAUACCUUCAUUACUUAAUAUUCUCAGCUUAGUUAACUUGCUUUUUUUUUUUUCCUAUUCUCUAGCCAUGAUAAGUUUAGU